GAGUUUGAUCAUGGCUCAGGAUGAACGCUGGCGGCGUGCUUAACACAUGCAAGUCGAACGAACCUUCGGGUUAGUGGCGGACGGGCGAGUAACGCGUGGGAAUCUGCCCUCAGGAGGGGGAUAACGGUUGGAAACGACCGCUAAUACCCCAUAUGCCGAGAGGUGAAAUGAAUUUCGCCUGAGGGUGAGCCCGCGUCUGAUUAGCUUGUUGGUGAGGUAAUGGCUCACCAAGGCAUCGAUCAGUACCUGGUCUGAGAGGAUGAUCAGCCACACUGGGACUGAGACACGGCCCAGACUCCUACGGGAGGCAGCAGUGGGGAAUUUUCCGCAAUGGGCGAAAGCCUGACGGAGCAACGCCGCGUGAGGGACGAAGGCCUCUGGGCUGUAAACCUCUUUUCUCAAGGAAGAAGAUAUGACGGUACUUGAGGAAUAAGCCACGGCUAAUUCCGUGCCAGCAGCCGCGGUAAUACGGGAGUGGCAAGCGUUAUCCGGAAUUAUUGGGUGCAAAGCGUCCGCAGGCGGCCCUUCAAGUCUGCUGUUAAAGCGUGGAGCUUAACUCCAUCAUGGCAGUGGAAACUGAUUGGCUUGAGUAUGGUAGGGGCAGAGGGAAUUCCCGGUGUAGCGGUGAAAUGCGUAGAUAUCGGGAAGAACACCAGUGGCGAAGGCGCUCUGCUGGGCCAUUACUGACGCUCAUGGACGAAAGCCAGGGGAGCGAAAGGGAUUAGAUACCCCUGUAGUCCUGGCCGUAAACGAUGAACACUAGGUGUCGGGGGAAUCGACCCCUUCGGUGUCGUAGCUAACGCGUUAAGUGUUCCGCCUGGGGAGUACGCACGCAAGUGUGAAACUCAAAGGAAUUGACGGGGGCCCGCACAAGCGGUGGAGUAUGUGGUUUAAUUCGAUGCAACGCGAAGAACCUUACCAGGGCUUGACAUCCUGCGAACCUUUAAGAAAUUAGAGGGUGCCUUCGGGAACGCAGUGACAGGUGGUGCAUGGCUGUCGUCAGCUCGUGUCGUGAGAUGUUGGGUUAAGUCCCGCAACGAGCGCAACCCACGUUUUUAGUUGCCAGCAUUUAGUUGGGCACUCUAGAAAGACCGCCGGUGAUAAACCGGAGGAAGGUGUGGAUGACGUCAAGUCAUCAUGCCCCUUACGUCCUGGGCUACACACGCACUACAAUGCUACGGACAAAGGGCAGCAAACUCGCGAGAGCUAGCAAAUCCCAUAAACCGUGGCUCAGUUCAGAUCGUAGGCUGCAACUCGCCUACGUGAAGUAGGAAUCGCUAGUAAUCGCAGGUCAGCAUACUGCGGUGAAUACGUUCCCGGGCCUUGUACACACCGCCCGUCGCACCAUGGAAGUUGGCCAUGCCCGAAGUCGUUACUUUAACCCUUGUGGAGAAGGACGCCGAAGGUGGGGCUGAUGACUGGGGUGAAGUCGUAACAAGGUAACC
rnacentral:rRNA from 1 species